GAUGAACGCUGGCGGCGUGCCUAACACAUGCAAGUCGAGCGUGAUGCUCUGGAUUGAAGCUUCGGCUGAUUGAAAGAGUUGAAAGCGGCGGACGGGUGAGUAACGCGUAGGCAACCUGCCCCUUACAGAGGGAUAGCCACUGGAAACGGUGAUUAAUACCUCAUAAUGCGAGAGAACCUCCUGGCUCUUUCGCCAAAGAUUUAUCGGUAAGGGAUGGGCCUGCGCCUGAUUAGCUAGUUGGUGAGGUAACGGCCCACCAAGGCAACGAUCAGUAGCCGACCUGAGAGGGUAAUCGGCCACAUUGGAACUGAGACACGGUCCAAACUCCUACGGGAGGCAGCAGUGGGGAAUAUUGCACAAUGGGCGCAAGCCUGAUGCAGCAACGCCGCGUGAACGAAGAGGGUCUUCGGAUUGUAAAGUUCUGUCCUUGGGGAAGAAACAAAUGACGGUACCCUUGGAGGAAGCCCCGGCUAACUACGUGCCAGCAGCCGCGGUAACAC
rnacentral:rRNA from 1 species